UGGGGUGCCUACCAUGCAAGUCGAACGGUGAUGAGGAGCUUGCUUCUCUGAUCAGUGGCGAACGGGUGAGUAACACGUGAGUAACCUGCCCCCGACUCUGGGAUAAGCACUGGAAACGGUGUCUAAUACCGGAUACGAGCUUCAGCCGCAUGGCUAGGAGUUGGAAAGAAUUUCGGUUGGGGAUGGACUCGCGGCCUAUCAGCUAGUUGGUGAGGUAAUGGCUCACCAAGGCGACGACGGGUAGCCGGCCUGAGAGGGUGACCGGCCACACUGGGACUGAGACACGGCCCAGACUCCUACGGGAGGCAGCAGUGGGGAAUAUUGCACAAUGGGCGCAAGCCUGAUGCAGCAACGCCGCGUGAGGGACGACGGCCUUCGGGUUGUAAACCUCUUUUAGUAGGGAAGAAGCGAAAGUGACGGUACCUGCAGAAAAAGCACCGGCUAACUACGUGCCAGCAGCCGCGGUAAUACGUAGGGUGCAAGCGUUGUCCGGAAUUAUUGGGCGUAAAGAGCUCGUAGGCGGUUUGUCGCGUCUGCUGUGAAAACCCGAGGCUCAACCUCGGGCCUGCAGUGGGUACGGGCAGACUAGAGUGCGGUAGGGGAGAUUGGAAUUCCUGGUGUAGCGGUGGAAUGCGCAGAUAUCAGGAGGAACACCAAUGGCGAAGGCAGAUCUCUGGGCCGUAACUGACGCUGAGGAGCGAAAGCAUGGGGAGCGAACAGGAUUAGAUACCCUGGUAGUCCAUGCCGUAAACGUUGGGAACUAGAUGUGGGGACCAUUCCACGGUCUCCGUGUCGCAGCUAACGCAUUAAGUUCCCCGCCUGGGGAGUACGGCCGCAAGGCUAAAACUCAAAGGAAUUGACGGGG
rnacentral:rRNA from 2 species